AAUGUGAGUUUGUUACAACUUUGAAAUUUUAUUAUCAUAAAGUAUUGUUUUCAACUCCUUUUAUUAAUAACGGGUGUUUGAUACAUAAAUAUAACACUUUGACCAAACAACUAAUGCUUUAUUUCCAAAACGUCUAGAGUCAUCUUGCCGCAAAGCCUUCAACCUUCUUCUCUACUUGGCCUAAACACCUGACCCUGGAAGAUGAAUUUUUGAAAGAAUGUCUGAAAGACUGUGGUUUUAUGAAAUCUUUUUCGCAAUACCUUGAUUACAUAAACAUUAUUUCACAUAAGUAACAUCAAAUAAUUUCAUCUCGCAUAAAACUUUCUUUAUGCUUAACAUAUUCAUAACAUAACAAUUUCAUAUAAACACACAUUAGUUAACAUUCAUUCAUUUUGCCAAGAAUCCCAAAUCGUUCUCUAUGCUUGGUCUCAUAACCUCGCAUUUGACUACUGUAUCAACAACAUCUGAGAACAUACAAAUUCGUCAUUGUUGCUCAGACCACUAAGCUUUAUACACUCCUUUCAACACAUAAUCCAGCUUCUUAUCACCAUGUGAUCCGUACACCCCAUGGCCGCCUUGACUCUAUAUGUGCACAUAAAAGUUAGCAUAAUCUCACAAAAUCAACUAAUGGUUUGAAAAUCAUUUCAUAGCAUGGAAAUCGUAAUCAUCAAAUCAAGCUUUAAUACUCUCAUUUGAAACACUUUCACAGCUUCUUCUUGAAACACUUUCUCAUUUAAAAUCAUCUUUCAAAAUAGUAAAGCGGAACCACAAAACAUUUAAGAAAAAACCACUUGCCAUACUUUAACAAAAAUUUUCCUCUUUCGUCUCUUUUCGCGGAGAGGGAAGAGACAUUUUCUCAAUCUUACACGUUAGCCCCUAUCGAAUCAGAUUUGACAUUUUCUUAGCUAGACCUUGAUAGAACUAAGUCAUGCACAGCGGAAAAAGAAUCGAAUUUCUACCCUAAUUGCCACAAUUAACAUGUAACCAUAAACUAAUCAAAUUAGGGUUUUAAGAAGUAUUACCUUUGUAGCUUACAAAAGGUUUGAUGUCUUCUUACCAAUUCUACCCGAGACCACCACUAGUACUCAACUGCUAUCCUCUAGACAAAGAACCGGGUUGUGGGACCCAAUUUUGGUGUAGAAAGUAAUGGAGAUAAAAUGAGAUUGGAAGCUUUCUUUUUUCUUUUGUUGAGAUUAUGAAAAUGAUAAAAGAGGCAAAAGUCCUUCAACAUUUGAAAACAUCUCUAUUUAUAGCCUAAUUACAUGCAAAAAUGCAUGCAAUUCAUUUGUCAAAU
rnacentral:lncRNA from 1 species